GUUUUCAAAUCGAUUCUAUCUUGAAUACUUUUUGAGAAAAAUGUAAACGAAAGAAAUUGCUUCAAAGGAACAUAACUCUCAUAGGGAAUGAUGAAAUCCUUAGCAGCCUCAUAUGGUAACACAUCAUGAUGAGAUCUAACCAUUGUCCAAAUAAGGUCAUGAUAUCUUCAAAAACAACGAGGGGGGGCCAUGUCGAAAAAAAAAACAAUAAAAGGGAGAUAACUUCUAAAGGGGAUGAUGAAAUCCUACACAGCCUCAUCUGGUAAUACUUCAUGAUGAGGUCUACCGAUGGUCCAUAUUUGGUCUUGAUAACUCCAAUAGAAACGAGGGGAGGCCAUGUCAAACAAAUGCUGGA
rnacentral:lncRNA from 1 species